UAUGGUGGAAGUUAGAAACUUUAGUAUA
rnacentral:sRNA from 1 species